AGUGCGGGAGCGGCGGCCUGGGGUCUUCCUGCAGGACGCUUUCUCCUGCCUCUUAAAAUUCCCCGGAGGCGGAUUGGCGAGUCCUAAGACCUGUGGAGCCAGGCCGUAACAAACCUUUGUAGUGUUAGAAGAAAGGCAUUCCUUUUGCGGUGACACCGAUUGUUCAGUGGCUGGUUUUCAUAAGGCACCCAGGACCCUAAAUCAUUCUUCCUCGCUGCAGAAAAGGCCAGAAAACUCCUCUAUGCUGAGCUGUUAAUGACCUAAUAUUUUUUUCUCCUCUACGUGCAUGGCCAUAUCUGAAAACCAUGGAGAUGUGCAAGAGGAAAGGCCUGAAACUGCAGUCGACUCACUGAUUCAUUAAAUAAGCAUUUAUUGUGCACCAUAUGGACAAUACACAGCUCUGCUCUGAGCCUGAGGGAUAUAGUAAUGAAUGAGAAAGAAGAGGUCUUGGUGUCAUAGUGUGUUACA